CUCCUACGGGAGGCAGCAGUGAGGAAUAUUGGUCAAUGGUCGGCAGACUGAACCAGCCAAGUCGCGUGAGGGAAGACGGCCCUACGGGUUGUAAACCUCUUUUGUCGGAGAGUAAAGUACGCUACGCGUAGUGUAUUGCAAGUAUCCGAAGAAAAAGCAUCGGCUAACUCCGUGCCAGCAGCCGCGGUAAUACGGAGGAUGCAAGCGUUAUCCGGAUUUAUUGGGUUUAAAGGGUGCGUAGGCGGCACGCCAAGUCAGCGGUGAAAUUUCCGGGCUCAACCCGGACUGUGCCGUUGAAACUGGCGAGCUAGAGUACACAAGAGGCAGGCGGAAUGCGUGGUGUAGCGGUGAAAUGCAUAGAUAUCACGCAGAACCCCGAUUGCGAAGGCAGCCUGCUAGGGUGAAACAGACGCUGAGGCACGAAAGCGUGGGUAUCGAACAGGAUUAGAUACCCUGGUAGUCCACGCAGUAAACGAUGAAUACUAACUGUUUGCGAUACAAUGUAAGCGGUACAGCGAAAGCGUUAAGUAUUCCACCUGGGGAGUACGCCGGCAACGGUGAAACUCAAAGGAAUUGACGGGGGCCCGCACAAGCGGAGGAACAUGUGGUUUAAUUCGAUGAUACGCGAGGAACCUUACCCGGGCUCAAACGCAGGGGGAAUGUCGGUGAAAGCCGGCAGCUAGUAAUAGUCACCUGCGAGGUGCUGCAUGGUUGUCGUCAGCUCGUGCCGUGAGGUGUCGGCUUAAGUGCCAUAACGAGCGCAACCCCUAUGGACAGUUACUAACGGGUGAAGCCGAGGACUCUGUCUAGACUGCCGGCGCAAGCCGCGAGGAAGGUGGGGAUGACGUCAAAUCAGCACGGCCCUUACGUCCGGGGCGACACACGUGUUACAAUGGCAGGUACAGAAGGCAGCCAGUCAGCAAUGACGCGCGAAUCCCGAAAACCUGUCUCAGUUCGGAUUGGAGUCUGCAACCCGACUCCAUGAAGC
rnacentral:rRNA from 1 species